GAUGAACGCUGGCGGCGUGCUUAACACAUGCAAGUCGAACGAAGCACUUUAUUUGAUUUCCUUCGGGACUGAUUAUUUUGUGACUGAGUGGCGGACGGGUGAGUAACGCGUGGGUAACCUGCCUUGUACAGGGGGAUAACAGCUGGAAACGGCUGCUAAUACCGCAUAAGCGCACGGCAUCGCAUGAUGCAGUGUGAAAAACUCCGGUGGUAUAAGAUGGACCCGCGUUGGAUUAGCUAGUUGGUGAGGUAACGGCCCACCAAGGCGACGAUCCAUAGCCGACCUGAGAGGGUGACCGGCCACAUUGGGACUGAGACACGGCCCAAACUCCUACGGGAGGCAGCAGUGGGGAAUAUUGCACAAUGGGCGAAAGCCUGAUGCAGCGACGCCGCGUGAGCGAAGAAGUAUUUCGGUAUGUAAAGCUCUAUCAGCAGGGAAGAUAAUGACGGUACCUGACUAAGAAGCACCGGCUAAAUACGUG
rnacentral:rRNA from 1 species